rnacentral:lncRNA from 1 species
CCACCACCACGCCCAGCUAAUUAUUGUAUUUUUAGUAGAGAUGGGGUUUUGCCAUGUUGGCCAGGCUGGUCUCGAACUCCUGACCUCAGGUGAUCUGCCCACCUUGGCCUCCCAAAGUGUUGGGAUUACCACAUGCGGCCUCUGGUUCUGAUACUUUAUGGUUCCAUUGAAAGUUGUGUUUGUGCCAGACAGCAACUCACGCCUAUAAUCUCAGCACUUCGGGAGGCAGAGGUGGGAGGAUCUCGAGUCCAGGGGUUUGAGACCAGCUUUGACAACAUAGGGAGACCUCAUCUCUACAAAAAAUUUAAAAAUUAGCCAGGCAUGGUGGCACGCAUCUGUAGUCCCACCUAUUUGGAAGGCUGAAGCAGGAGGAUUACUUGAGCCCAGGAGUUUGAGGCUGCAGUGAGCUAUGACUGCACCACUGCACUCCAACCUGGGCCACAGAGCAAAGACCUCAUCUCUAAAAAAAAAAAGGAAAGUUAUGUUUGUAAUUAUACUUUUAUUUCCAAGGUAAACCGUAUUUAAAAAAAGAAAACACAUUUUGUUUCAGGAGCCGUGUUGGGAACAGGCCUCCAAAUCUGGCCAUAAACAAAAUCUCUGCAGCACAGUGACAUGUUCACGAUGGCCAUGAGGCCCACGCUGAAGGUUGUGGGUUUACCGGAAUGAGGGCAAGGAACACCUGGCUCACCCAGGGUGGAAAACCGCUUAAAGGCGUUCUUAAACCACAAACAAUGGCAUGAGCGACCUGUGCCUUAAGGACAUGCUCCUGCCGCAGAUAACUAGCCAGAGCCCAUCCCUUUGUUUUGGCCCAUCCCUUUGUUUCCCAUAAGGAAUACUUUUAGUUAAUCUAUAAUCUAUAGAAACAAUGCUUAACACUGGCUUACUGUCAAUAAACAUGUGGGUCAAACUCUGUUUGGGGCUCUCAGCUCUGAAGGCUGUGAGUCCCCUGAUUUCCCACUCCACACUCUAUGUUUGUGUGUGUGUGUCUUUAAUUCCUCUAGCGCCGCUGGGUUAGGGUCUCCACGACCGAGCUGGUCUUGGCAGAGCCAGGCUGCUAUGAACUGUGAUCAAGCCACUGCACUCCAGCUUGGGCAACAGAGCAAGACCCUUUCUCGAAAAAAGUUUGAAGACAUCAGUUUACUUUAGAAUUGUAAGUCAGUAAGGCAGGCGUUAAGUGAUGCAUAAUAUGAUACCUAUUCACAGACACCCAUUCACAGAUCUUAGAAGGGCCUCAGACCAAUGUACAUACCAAAAAGCCUCUUUUAGCUGGGUACAGGGAUUCAUGCCUGUAAUCUCAGCGUUCUGGGAGGCCGAGGCAGGUAGAUCACUUGAGCCUAGGAGUUCAAGACCAGCCUGGGCAACACAGAAAGACCUCGUCUCUACAAACAAUUUAAAAUUCAGCCAGGCAUGGUGGUGUGCACCAGUAGACCCAGCUACUUGGGAGGCUGAGGUGGGAGGAUCGCUUAGUCCAGGAGUUCGAGGCUGAAGGCAGCUAUGUUCAAGCUACUGCAGUCCAGUCUGGGCAACAGAGCAAGACCCUGUCUCUUAAAAAAAAAAAAAAAAACAGUUGGGGAAGGGGCCAGGUGUGGUGGCUCACGCCUAUAAUCCC